CCCGCUGAACUUAAGCAUAUCAAUAAGCGGAGGAAAAGAAACUAACAAGGAUUCCCCUAGUAACUGCGAGUGAAGCGGGAAGAGCUCAAAUUUAAAAUCUGACGUGCCUCUGGUCGUCCGAGUUGUAGUCUGGAGAAGCGUUUUCCGUGUUGGACCGUGUAUAAGUCUCUUGGAACAGGGCGUCAUAGAGGGUGAGAAUCCCGUCUUUGACACGGACUACCAAUGCUUUGUGAUGCGCUCUCAAAGAGUCGAGUUGUUUGGGAAUGCAGCUCAAAAUGGGUGGUAAAUUCCAUCUAAAGCUAAAUACAGGCGAAAGACCGAUAGCGAACAAGUACCGUGAGGGAAAGAUGAAAAGCACUUUGGAAAGAGAGUUAAACAGUACGUGAAAUUGUUGAAAGGGAAACGCUUGAAGUCAGUCGCGUCUUCAGAAAUUCAGCCUGGCUUCUGCCUGGUGUACUUUUCUGUUGGACGGGCCAGCAUCAGUUUUGACCGUCAGAAAAAGGCGAGAGGAAGGUGGCACCUCCGGGUGUGUUAUAGCCUCUCGUCGUAUGUGACGGCUGGGACUGAGGACCGCAGCACGCCUUCAUGGCCGGGGUUCGCCCACGUAACGUGCUUAGGAUGCUGGCGUAAUGGCUUUAAACGACCCGUCUUGAAACACGG
rnacentral:rRNA from 1 species